GCGAGAGUGGCGGAACCGGCAGACGCGCACGUUUGAGGGGCGUGUGGGGAGACUCGUACGGGUUCAAGUCCCGUCUCUCGCACCA
rnacentral:tRNA from 1 species